rnacentral:rRNA from 1 species
AGGUAGAGAAUACCAAGGCGCUUGAGAGAACUCGGGUGAAGGAACUAGGCAAAAUGGUGCCGUAACUUCGGGAGAAGGCACGCUGAUAUGUAGGUGAAGUCCCUCGCGGAUGGAGCUGAAAUCAGUCGAAGAUACCAGCUGGCUGCAACUGUUUAUUAAAAACACAGCACUGUGCAAACACGAAAGUGGACGUAUACGGUGUGACGCCUGCCCGGUGCCGGAAGGUUAAUUGAUGGGGUCAGCGCAAGCGAAGCUCUUGAUCGAAGCCCCGGUAAACGGCGGCCGUAACUAUAACGGUCCUAAGGUAGCGAAAUUCCUUGUCGGGUAAGUUCCGACCUGCACGAAUGGCGUAAUGAUGGCCAGGCUGUCUCCACCCGAGACUCAGUGAAAUUGAACUCGCUGUGAAGAUGCAGUGUACCCGCGGCAAGACGGAAAGACCCCGUGAACCUUUACUAUAGCUUGACACUGAACAUUGAGCCUUGAUGUGUAGGAUAGGUGGGAGGCUUUGAAGUGUGGACGCCAGUCUGCAUGGAGCCGACCUUGAAAUACCACCCUUUAAUGUUUGAUGUUCUAACGUGGACCCGUGAUCCGGGUUGCGGACAGUGUCUGGUGGGUAGUUUGACUGGGGCGGUCUCCUCCUAAAGAGUAACGGAGGAGCACGAAGGUUGGCUAAUCCUGGUCGGACAUCAGGAGGUUAGUGCAAUGGCAUAAGCCAGCUUGACUGCGAGCGUGACGGCGCGAGCAGGUGCGAAAGCAGGUCAUAGUGAUCCGGUGGUUCUGAAUGGAAGGGCCAUCGCUCAACGGAUAAAAGGUACUCCGGGGAUAACAGGCUGAUACCGCCCAAGAGUUCAUAUCGACGGCGGUGUUUGGCACCUCGAUGUCGGCUCAUCACAUCCUGGGGCUGAAGUAGGUCCCAAGGGUAUGGCUGUUCGCCAUUUAAAGUGGUACGCGAGCUGGGUUUAGAACGUCGUGAGACAGUUCGGUCCCUAUCUGCCGUGGGCGCUGGAGAACUGAGGGGGGCUGCUCCUAGUACGAGAGGACCGGAGUGGACGCAUCACUGGUGUUCGGGUUGUCAUGCCAAUGGCACUGCCCGGUAGCUAAAUGCGGAAGAGAUAAGUGCUGAAAGCAUCUAAGCACGAAACUUGCCCCGAGAUGAGUUCUCCCUGACCCUUUAAGGGUCCUGAAGGAACGUUGAAGACGACGACGUUGAUAGGCCGGGUGUGUAAGCGCAGCGAUGCGUUGAGCUAACCGGUACUAAUGAACCGUGAGGCUUAACCUU